CUCUGUUCAUUCAUUUCAUAGAAAUUCACGUUUAACUCUCUGCGUGCUCCUUGAUCCAUUUGAGUUCACUAAUGGAAUCGAAGAACGGAAUUUUAGAAUUAGGUCGAUUCGUUUUUCCUUUCACUUCUAUUAUUGAUUCGAUUGUGCAAUUGCAAAAUGCAAAAACUCUUUGGUUUUUCUCGUGUUUUGACUUUUUCGAUACUGUUGCUAAUUACUUUUUUCGAAAUUGCAAGGUUAUGCUGUGAGGGAGUUUUCCAAACAGGGCAUUAAGCCAGGGGAGUUGGCUAUCAUUUCCAAAGAAGUGGUUGGGAGUGUGAUAAAGAGUCCAGAAAUAUCUGGUCUUGUUCCUACUCUACUUAAGGGACUUUGUCAUCCUAAAGAGCAUACAAAAUAUUCCCUUAAUAUUCUUCUUCAAUUGUGGUAUCACUUGCUAAACAAUGGGCAUUUGAAGAACCUUCUGUGGAGACAAUAACUGGUGAAAAUGUUUUGACAUAGCCACAUGUGAAAUGGCCUCUAUCAAGUUCCUCAACUUGACUUGCACGGGAAUAUGCUUGAAGAUCCCAAUGGCCGAGGGGCGUACGUUGUGUGCUCUUCCGAACGUUAAAUACGUGCUCUUUCGAACGUUAAAUACGUGUUCAUCAUUUAUAUAAUAAUUUGGGCCCAGGUAGUGAUGAGCAUCUUGAAAGGAAGAUUCUAGAUCCUGAGCGCUUGAGUAGGGUGGAAUCAAUUUUUGGCAAUCUUUCAGAAACCAUCAAAAUAUAUGGUCCCUGGUCUUCUGUAUGGGUAGGAGAAGCUGGAGGGGCAUACAAUAGUGGUGGCAAUCAUGUUUCUAACAGAUUUCUAAACAGCUUUUGGUACUUAGAUCAACUUGGAAUAGCAUCCUGCUACAACACUAAAGUCUAUUGCAGGCAGACUUUAAUUGGAGGGAAUUAUGGCCUUCUCAAUGCCACCACCUUUGCUCCCAAUCCUGACUACUACAGUGCAGUUUUGUGGCAUCGGUUAAUGGGAAAGAAGGUUCUUGCGGUCUCAAGUGAUGUUCAUAUUAAAGACUUUUACCUACAGUUAGAAAAUGUAAGUAGAAGUUAAUAACUUUUACCUACAAUUGAAGGUAAUAGAUACAUAUUAAAGACUUUUACCUACAGUUAAAAAAUGUAAGUAGAAGUUAAUGACUUUUACCUACACACUAUACAUAGUAGGUAAAACCUAUAGUGACAGACAAUUAACCGUCAUUAUACGCUCCCUCAAAGUUGACAGAAGAAACGUCCGUAGGACAAAGUCUAUCAUACAUUUACCUACAGAUUUUUUAUUUAUAGUGACAGUUUUUGUCUGUAGGUAUAAGUCAUUUUUCUUGUAGUGACCAUUAGAAACGAUGACACGGUGGGACAAGCACAAGUAGUAGUCUUUUAUUUCUUGCCUUGCUAAACAAAAUAUCAUCUCGUGCAGUUUAUGCUCCAUACUUGUUUAGGUACUCGUUAAGUG